UGGGUUUACUGGACAUGCCUCAGAGAC
rnacentral:piRNA from 2 species